UACGUAGGGAGCGAGCGUUGUCCGGAUUUACUGGGCGUAAAGGGUGCGUAGGCGGCUCUGCAAGUCAGGUGUGAAAACCAUCGGCUUAACUGAUGGACUGCAUUUGAAACUGUGGGGCUUGAGUGAAGUAGAGGCAGACGGAAUUCCCGGUGUAGCGGUGAAAUGCGUAGAGAUCGGGAGGAACACCAGUGGCGAAGGCGGUCUGCUGGGCUUUAACUGACGCUGAGGCACGAAAGCAUGGGUAGCAAACAGGAUUAGAUACCCUGGUAGUCCAUGCCGUAAACGAUGAUUACUAGGUGUGGGGGGUCUGACCCCCUCCGUGCCGGAGUUAACACAAUAAGUAAUCCACCUGGGAAGUACGACCGCAAGGUUGAAACUCAAAGGAAUUGACGGGGGCCCGCACAAGCAGUGGAGUAUGUGGUUUAAUUCGAAGCAACGCGAAGAACCUUACCAGAUCUUGACAUCCAGCUAAUUCUGUAGAAAUACGGAAGUGCCCUUCGGGGAAAGCUGAGACAGGUGGUGCAUGGUU
rnacentral:rRNA from 1 species